AUGAACGCUAGCGGCAGGCCUAAUACAUGCAAGUCGAACGGUAGAUCGGGUAGCAAUACUUGAUUGAGAGUGACGUAAGGGUGCGUAACACGUAUGCAAUCUACCCUCAACAGGAGUAUAGCUCGGGGAAACUCGGAUUAACACUCCAUAACAUUACGAUGUGGCAUCACAUUGUGAUUAAAACUCCGGUGGUUGAGGAUGAGCAUGCGUCCGAUUAGUUAGUUGGAGGUGUAACGGACCCCCAAGACGAUGAUCAGUAGGGGAACUGAGAGGUUGAUCCCCCACACUGGCACUGAGAUACGGGCCAGACUCCUACGGGAGGCAGCAGUAGGGAAUAUUGGUCAAUGGGUGAGAGCCUGAACCAGCCAUGCCGCGUGCAGGAAGACGGCCUUCUGGGUUGUAAACUGCUUUUAUCUGGGGAUAAAAAGCCCAUGCGUGGGACAUUGAAGGUACCAGAUGAAUAAGCACCGGCUAACUACGUG
rnacentral:rRNA from 1 species